rnacentral:rRNA from 1 species
CCUACGGGAGGCAGCAGUGGGGAAUAUUGGACAAUGGGCGAAAGCCUGAUCCAGCCAUGCCGCGUGUGUGAAGAAGGCCUUCGGGUUGUAAAGCACUUUCAGUGGGGAAGAAAGCCUUGGGGCUAAUACCCUCGAGGAAGGACAUCACCCACAGAAGAAGCACCGGCUAACUCCGUGCCAGCAGCCGCGGUAAUACGGAGGGUGCGAGCGUUAAUCGGAAUUACUGGGCGUAAAGCGCGCGUAGGCGGUCUGAUAAGCCGGUUGUGAAAGCCCCGGGCUCAACCUGGGAAUGGCAUCCGGAACUGUCAGGCUAGAGUGCAGGAGAGGAAGGUAGAAUUCCCGGUGUAGCGGUGAAAUGCGUAGAGAUCGGGAGGAAUACCAGUGGCGAAGGCGGCCUUCUGGACUGACACUGACGCUGAGGUGCGAAAGCGUGGGUAGCAAACAGGAUUAGAUACCCGGGUAGUC